UAGCCUGUAGCUUAGUGGUAGAGCGUCAGUCUUGUAAACUGAAGGUCUGUGCUUCAUGCUUU
rnacentral:tRNA from 1 species